rnacentral:rRNA from 1 species
UUUUAUGGAGAGUUUGAUCCUGGCUCAGGAUGAACGCUGGCGGCGUGCCUAAUACAUGCAAGUCGAGCGAACAGAUAAGGAGCUUGCUCCUUUGACGUUAGCGGCGGACGGGUGAGUAACACGUGGGUAACCUACCUAUAAGACUGGAAUAACUCCGGGAAACCGGGGCUAAUGCCGGAUAACAUUUAGAACCG